rnacentral:rRNA from 1 species
GAUUUCACGCUGCUGAAAAAAGUUUCGUAGGAAGAAAAUAUUGCCCGUACCGCAAACCGACACAGGUACUCGAGUGGAGAACACUAAGGUGAGCGAGUGAACUAUUGUUAAGGAACUCUGCAAAAUGAGUCCGUAACUUCGGAAGAAGGACUGCUGGUUUUAUACCAGCCGCAGCAAAUAGGCCCAAACAACUGUUUAUCAAAAACACAGGUUUCUGCAAAAUCGUAAGAUGAAGUAUAGGGGCUGACGCCUGCCCAGUGCUGGAAGGUUAAAAGGAGGACUUAGCUUCGGCGAAGGUCUUAAUUGAAGCCCCAGUGAACGGCGGCCGUAACUAUAACGGUCCUAAGGUAGCGAAAUUCCUUGUCGGGUAAGUUCCGACCCGCAUGAAAGGCGUAAUGAUUUGGGCGCUGUCUCAACAAUAGACUCGGUGAAAUUUAAAUUCCAGUGAAGAUGCUGGGUACCCGCGACAGGACGGAAAGACCCCGUGGAGCUUUACUGUAGCUUGAUAUUGAAUGUUUGUGCUGCAUGUGCAGGAUAGGUAGGAGACUUUGAAGUCGGAACGCUAGUUUCGAUUGAGUCACCCUUGAGAUACUACCCCUGUUGUAUGAACGUUCUAACUCUGAUCAGUUAUCCUGAUCGAAGACAGUGUCUGGCAGGCAGUUUGACUGGGGCGGUCGCCUCCUAAAAGAUAACGGAGGCGCUCAAAGGUUUGCUCAGAAUGGUUGGAAAUCAUUCGUAGCGUGUAAAGGCAUAAGCAAGCUUGACUGUGAGACUGACAAGUCGAGCAGGUACGAAAGUAGGACUUAGUGAUCCGGUGGUUCCGUAUGGAAGGGCCAUCGCUCAACGGACAAAAGCUACCCCGGGGAUAACAGGCUCAUCUCCCCCAAGAGUCCACAUCGACGGGGAGGUUUGGCACCUCGAUGUCGGCUCAUCGCAUCCUGGGGCUGUAGUCGGUCCCAAGGGUUGGGCUGUUCGCCCAUUAAAGCGGUACGCGAGCUGGGUUCAGAACGUCGUGAGACAGUUCGGUCCCUAUCCGUCGUGGGCGCAGGAAAUUUGAGAGGAUCUGUCCUUAGUACGAGAGGACCGGGAUGGACAUACCUCUGGUGUACCAGUUGUUCUGCCAAGAGCACCGCUGGGUAGCUACGUAUGGAUUAGAUAAUCGCUGAAAGCAUCUAAGUGAGAAACUAACCUCGAGAUGAGAUUUCCCAUUCGUCAGAAGUAAGACCCCUGAGAGACGAUCAGGUAGAUAGGCUAGAAGUGGAAGUGUAGUGAUGCAUGGAGCGGACUAGUACUAAUAGGUCGAGGACUUAACCAAG